GGAGUCUGGACCGUGUCUCAGUUCCAGUGUGACUGAUCAUCCUCUCAGACCAGUUAUGCGUCAUAGCCUUGGUGAGCCAUUACCUCACCAACUAGCUGAUACAAUAUAGUCUCAUCCUAUGCCGAAAAACUUUCCCGACUUAACUUGUGUUAAGAAGGAGUAUGGAGUAUUAGCAGUCGUUUCCAACUGUUGUCCUCCAGCAUAGGGCAGAUUAGCUAUACAUUACUCACCCGUGCGCCACUAACUCAUAAGAGCAAGCUCUUACUUGUCCGUUCGACUUGCAUGUAUUAGGCACGCCGCCAGCGUUCACU
rnacentral:rRNA from 1 species